GGUUGAUAUUCCUGUACCACCUCUUUAUCGUUUGAGCAAUGGAGGGACGCAGAAGGAUAGAAGAAGCGUGCGAUUGGUUGUGCACGUCCAAGCAGUUAGGCUGAUAAGUAGGCAAAUCCGCUUAUCGUAAAGGCUGAGCUGUGAUGGGGAAGCUCCUUAUGGAGCGAAGUCUUUGAUUCCCCGCUGCCAAGAAAAGCUUCUAGCGAGAUAAAAGGUGCCUGUACCGCAAACCGACACAGGUAGGCGAGGAGAGAAUC
rnacentral:rRNA from 1 species